GGUGGCUCAGUGGUAGAGCACUUGCCUUGCAUGCAUGAGGACCUGGGUUCGAUUCCUCAGUACCA
rnacentral:tRNA from 1 species